CAAUUAACCAUUGAAUUAUGUCAGGCUUACAGCCCUCCACAGGAGUGGGUAUUGCUUUUUCCCCAACGCUGCGCAUUGGGCUGAAUUAAUGCGCCCUUUCAGGGCUUUUACAGCCGUCAGUAAACGCCUCAACAACUAAACAAUUCAACAGCUGAACACCUAAACAAUUCAACAUCUCAACGACUAAACACCUAAACAAUUCAACAACUAAACCCCUCAACAACUUUCUUCUAUUGCGGAGUCCGGGUUUAAGCAACCAAUAACCAAGAUUCCAAUGAGAUCAUAGCACUAAAAGCAUCAGGGUUCAGAUCUUCUGCAGACUUGAUAAAAAGUUUGGAAAAGAAUGGGAAGAUUCCCGAAAUUGCCAAAGUGGCUAUAUCAAAAAUAUUCGGAUUAGAUGAAUAAGGAACGUCCGGAAUCGCAGUCCGGUUCCUGCUUUUUUUAGCGGACUUGUUUAGAAAUAUCGGUUUUUUUAUUUAAGUUUGCCCGAAGAAAAAAACAAAAAACA
rnacentral:sRNA from 1 species